AUUGAACGCUGGCGGCAGGCCUAACACAUGCAAGUCGAGCGGGGUGUGCGGACCUAGCGGCGGACGGGUGAGUAAUGCGUAGGAAGCUGCCCGAUAGAGGGGGAUACCAGUUGGAAACGACUGUUAAUACCGCAUAAUGUCUACGGACCAAAGUGUGGGACCUUCGGGCCACAUGCUAUCGGAUGCGCCUACGUGGGAUUAGCUAGUUGGUGAGGUAAUGGCUAACCAAGGCGACGAUCGCUAGCUGGUUUGAGAGGAUGAUCAGCCACACUGGAACUGAGACACGGUCCAGACUCCAACGGGAGGAAGCAGUGGGGAAUAUUGGACAAUGGGCGCAAGCCUGAUCCAGCCAUGCCGCGUGUGUGAAGAAGGCCUUCGGGUUGUAAAGCACUUUCAGCGAGGAGGAAGGGGUGUGUGUUAAUAGUACACACCUUUGACGUUACUCGCAGAAGAAGCACCGGCUAACUCUGUGCCAGCCGCCGCGUAAUAC
rnacentral:rRNA from 1 species